AUCAUAAUGAUAGUAACAGGUUCUCAAUAUUGCAACGGCAUCUAUAACUUGUUACAGUUGAAACCACAUGCAAGAACCAUGAGAAAGUCAUCCACGAAGCGUGACAGGCACUGCUCACUGCCCUCUUCUCUCUUGUUAAUGUUUAAAAACAUGGUAUUAGCUAAAGCCAGCUCGCUAUACAUGAGAGAGACAUCAACCACAGCUCAAGCAUACCAUGACAGUGAGAUUCAGCACACAGAUUUCCAAGGAGAGGACUAUGGGUUUUGGAAUCCUACACCCCAUCACAGCGGUGGGGGAGAUGGGGCUCCUAUUCCUCAUGCCCAAGCGGCAUGCUGAGUUUCUAACUCCUCCAGAUUCCUUCUAUACCACAAUGGAGACUCAGAGCAAGGUAAACUGCUCACUUGAACGUAAAGAUGCACUCAAUUGCAUGAAUACGUUAAUCGUAUGAUGUUUUUUCCACUACCUUAAAGAUGGUGAUCUGCAAUUUGUAUGAUAUUUGCACUGGCCUCAUUGACUCGAGAUUGGGCACCAAUUUUGUAUUUACUUGAUAACAUAAAAAAGGUAUUAGGAGAUAGAAACCCAGGCAGGCACCAACACAUCAUUCCCUCGAGCAAAGUCUUUCAUCAAUUACACAAGGUUCAGCGCUUUUCAUUGUAUUUCAUUCCCUUUAACAAUCUCAAAGAAUUAAGGACAACAGUAUACACUCAAACAUAUUAGAGAGGUAAAAUCAACCACAAAUCAUGAAAGUAGUCAAAUUGAUCUUUUGCAUGUCUUGACAAAAAAGGAAAGGACCUGUGUGGUAUUAAAAGCCCAAGCAGUGCUGCAUUACAUAGGACUCUUCUGUUUCAUCUCCCAUUCCACAUAGCAGCAGAGAUAUCAACCACUAACCAACCACAUUAGAAACUAAAACAAAAGUAAAACACCAAGGUGCUCAACUCCAGAAGGGAGAGCAACACAUCAAGAGCCAAAUGUUCGGGUUGCUUUAAUGUGGACUAUUGGAGUGAGAUUACUGCAGUUACAUUGCUUGAAGUCAUGCUUUGUUGGGGGACCAAAAUUGUCUGAAUACUCAGAUGACAAAUUACC